GACCCCGCAGCGUUCCCGGUGGGGCGGCCCGCCUGCAAAGCGGGUUCAUCCGGUUCGACUCCGGGCGGGGUCU
rnacentral:tRNA from 1 species